UAUAGAGACUCAGAGCUGCAUAUCAAUAAGCGGAGGAAAAGAAACUAACAAGGAUUCCCUUAGUAACGGCGAGUGAAGCGGGAAGAGCUCAAAUUUGAAAUCUUCAAGGUUCUACCUUGACGAAUUGUAGUUUAAAGAAGUGUCUUCUGUUAGGAGUUGAGUACAAAAGUUCCUUGGAAUAGGACAUCAUAGAGGGUGAGAAUCCCGUAUUUGACUUAUUCAUUCUAGCUUUGUGAUACACUUUCAAAGAGUCGGAUUGUUUGGGAAUGCAGUCCAAAAUGGGUGGUAAAUUUCAUCUAAAGCUAAAUACUGGCGAGAGACCGAUAGCGAACAAGUACCGUGAGGGAAAGAUGAAAAGAACUUUGAAAAGAGAGUUAAACAGUACGUGAAAUUGUCAAAAGGGAAGCGUUUGACACCAGUGUUGUUUUCUCGAAAAUCAAUUAAGAAUGACUUGAUUUUGUGUUGUAUUGACCUUUAUCAGCUUUCUUCACUCUUUUCUGAGUCUUUUUAAUGCACUUUCGGUUAACAAGUCAACAUCAAUUUCUUUUGUUGUAAAAGGGUCAUUGGAAGGUGGCUUUCUUUUCGGAGAAAGUGUUUAUAGCCCUAUUACCUCUACAAUCGGAGAGAUUGAGGUCUGCAGCGUAGAUCCUUCGGGGUUAGAUACAUUUGUGCUAAGUUAUAGCCUUUCAUAGACAACUUGUUGACUAUGUUUAGUCAUGUCGCUUACUCGCUUAUGCUAUUUUACCUACGCUUAGGAUGUUGACGAUCAGCUGAGCGCG
rnacentral:rRNA from 1 species